rnacentral:misc_RNA from 1 species
GAUGAAGAACGCAGCGAAAUGCGAUACGUAAUGUGAAUUGCAGAAUUCAGUGAAUCAUCGAGUCUUUGAACGCACAUUGCGCCCCCUGGUAUUCCGGGGGGCAUGCCUGUCCGAGCGUCAUUGCUGCCCUCAAGCACGGCUUGUGUGUUGGGCCUCCGUCCUCCUCCCGGGGGACGAGCCCGAAAGGCAGCGGCGGCACCGCGUCCGGUCCUCGAGCGUAUGGGGCUUCGUCACCCGCUCUUGUAGGCCCGGCCGGCGCUUGCCGACACAUCAAUCUUUUUUCCAGGUUGACCUCGGAUCAGGUAGGGAUACCCGCUGAACUUAAGCAUAUCAAUAAGCGGAGGA